rnacentral:rRNA from 1 species
GACGAACGCUGGCGGCGUGCUUAACACAUGCAAGUCGAACGGAAAGGCCCUGCUUUUGUGGGGUGCUCGAGUGGCGAACGGGUGAGUAACACGUGAGUAACCUGCCCUUGACUUUGGGAUAACUUCAGGAAACUGGGGCUAAUACCGGAUAGGAGCUCCUGCUGCAUGGUGGGGGUUGGAAAGUUUCGGCGGUUGGGGAUGGACUCGCGGCUUAUCAGCUUGUUGGUGGGGUAGUGGCUUACCAAGGCUUUGACGGGUAGCCGGCCUGAGAGGGUGGCCGGCCACAGUGGGACUGAGAGACGGCCCAGACUCCUACGGGAGGCAGCAGUGGGGAAUAUUGCACAAUGGGCGGAAGCCUGAUGCAGCAACGCCGCGUGCGGGAUGACGGCCUUCGGGUUGUAAACCGCUUUCGCCUGUGACGAAGCGUGAGUGACGGUAAUGGGUAAAGAAGCACCGGCUAACUACGUG